rnacentral:lncRNA from 13 species
UAGUAUUUUCAGUUAAGACUGUUGGCUGUAGCCUUUCAGAUGAUGGUUAUGAUGGCUUCUUCAACUAGUCGGUCUGUUUCCAGUUUAUCCCUGAAGAUCACAGGCUCAGAAGCAGAAACUGAAGCCUACAGAGAUGAAGGUAUAUGACCAAGGUCACCCUGCUACUAAGAGAUCCAACUGGAAUUUAAAUUCAGAUCUACAAGACGUCAAAAUCCUUCCCAACUGCCAACUCCCAGAUGGAAAAAUAAGUUCUCUGGCUCAUACCACUAAACUCUGCAACUCUGGAUCAUAUAAAAUUUGCCAUCAACGUGGGUUAAGAAUUACAUGGAACAGCAGAGGGCGCCCUGCUCCACGUUUCUAG